rnacentral:tRNA from 1 species
GGGCCGGUAGUUCAGUUGGUAGAACGCUUCGUUCGCAAUGAAGAGGUCAGGAGUUCGACUCUCCUCCGGUCCACCA